CAACUGCAGCAUCAGCACAGAUUUCUGCUACUUGAAUUAAUGGAGUGCCACUGCCAGUCACAGGUUGUCAUCCUCUGAGUAAAGCCCUCCCAGAAGGGGAUUGCUGGUGAGAAACAUGAACUGAGGAUUUGCUUGUUGGCUGGGAUGGCAAUUGGAUGGAUGUACAUUCCAGAUUUAAGAUAACCCAAGAGGAAGGACUUUUAACCCAGCACAGAGCACUGGCCCUGGCUGAGCAGAUCACAGAGAGCUCUCAGUACUCCUCAUCCCAGUGCACCAGCUCUUAUGGACCCCAAAGCAUAGGUGAACAUCUGCCUCAUUUCCCUGCCCUGCCUGACUGUAUUUCCACCCUCUGCCAAGCUGCUGAUGGCCACAGGACCUGAAGAGGGAAAGAGUGAAAUUCUGCUUUCACCAAGAUUUCGGAAACCAACCACAUAUGAAGAUGUCAAUUUCUCAAAAGGACACGGACCAGGAAAGGCUGUAUAUUCUUGGGACACAUCCUCCCAGUGACUGCUUUGUGUUGUAAUAGAGUCUGGCCAGAAAGCUGCCAGAUCUAUGUCUUGGAUGACUACUGUGUCAAAAGCAUUUUUUAAUGACACAGAUGGAGCACUGAGUCUCCUCCCCACUUCCUUCGCUGUUGCCACAUAAAGGUUAAACUGGACUGGCACACUGCAAAGCCCCAUGGUUUUUAGUCUAUAAAAAACACUUUGGAAAGAGAUUGUUCAGUGUCACAUGGCUGUUUUAAGAAGAGGAAAUGCACAUGCUGAUGUUUAGCGGUAAUAUGGGAAGAUUUGCAUCUGUUGCAUUUGCAAGGCCAAGUGACUUCCACUAGAUAACAUCUGUUGCAUUUGCAAGGCCAAGUGACUACUAGAAAAUCUAGAAAUACAAGAAAGAGACAAACUGAACCAGGGACAAAAGGAGGAAAUUAGAGCCAGCAAGUAAAUUCUAAGUGCAAGGAACUUCUAGUUAUGAGAUCUCCAUUGAGAAGUUCUUCAGUGCAGCUGGCAGCCAUUUCUUUUUGCAGCUGAAGUUUCUGAAUGAUAACUUUUUGUGGAGUAUAUCACAGGAAUGUGGAUUGCAAAGGGCAAAAAUCUAGACUGCAGCCACAAAGUGUAUAUCUGAACAGAAGGCAAAAUGCUUCUGGAAUUUGGAAAGGGAAGAGAGAAGCAGCUUCAACUUCUGGAUGUUUCCUAGCUAGUCAUCUUGAUUUCCAGCCAUCAGCUUGUCACCUUUGUCAUUCUUUCUUCAUUGGUUUCACUCAUUCCAGUGAAACACUGGAGAACCCAACAAGUCCUCUUCUAUCAGAAACUGGACAAAACCAUCAGCUGUUUUCAGACAAAAGCGAGUACAGCACAUACUGCCCUGGUGUGGGUUUGUCUACAUGACCUUUUCCAAAAGCCCCAAGCCAGCUCUGCCAGUGUUCCCUGAGGGCCAGGUGUGGUGUAGCUGUGGCCAAAAGCUGUGCACCCAGAACCUGUACCAUCCUCCUUAACUUUAAUUCCAGAACCCAUUUCAUCAUUCACGGCAUGCUCUCAGCCUGCAAGCUCCUGUCACAAUGGAUUGUUAACACAUCAUCAUCGGGUGCUGGAUAACCAAACCCAUGGGGGGGGGGAAGGAAAAAGGACUACAGGACUCUCCUACCACUUGGUGACUCCUAGUAAAGGGACAGAGGCAGUGGACUGGGAGGCAGGAGGUGUACUUCAGGAGAGUGCUUCUGGAGGCAUUUUUCCCUUAUGUGUUGGCAGGUCAGGAGUUGAGAAUGUAUGGGUUGUCCCUUCCAUUGAUAUUCUUAGUCAGAGAAUGGCAUUUACCUCUUAACAAUUCCUCAUUGUAAAGCCAAAUCCGUUCCUCCUCCCCAAAACAACCUGUGGUAUUGUUCUCCUGUUACCAUGAUAAAUUAUGCAUGUUAGACACGCGGAAUCAUGACAAUGCUCCUGUGCACAGUCGUUCCUUGUGCUGAGAAAUUAGUAUUUUGCCAUGUACGGCUUUAUUAUGGUCCUCUUUAUUAUGGGACUGAUGUUAGGGUCUUGGAGAAAUUGCUAGGAAGUGGAGAGUAUACGAGCUGCUCUGGGAGUUUAGGCACAGACAUCUGGUUGGAUCUGGUUUAUGGUUGAUCUAUCAACCAACAUGCUAGAUCUAGCUUUGUGUCUUCAUACAUACAUCAUAGAAGCUCACAGAAUCACAGAACAGUUUGGGUUGGAAGAGACCUUAACUGUUAUCUGCUUCCACCCCACCCUACCAUGGGCCUACACCAGGUUGCUCAAAGUCCUGUCCUCAUAGAUAACACAGAGAAGAGAAAUUUUCAGUUCUCCUGAAGUUGCUGGAUAGAGCUUAAAGACCAACUAACAAAAAUGAUAAAAGAAUGUAAAAGUGUGCACACAGGAUGAUAAAUGUAGCUGGAACCAGUAGAUUAACAGAUAAUGAGGAUUAUAGUGGCUUUUUGGGCCAAGUUAUGUAAAAAGAAGCAACAGCGCAUGCCCUAAGAGAAGUUCAAGGAAAUGUCAUCUGUAAUAUGGGGGGCACUUGGUGAGUACAACCACCAAAGACCCCUUCAGACAACCCUCUAGGGACAUUAAAAGACUUCCUGAAGGAGGCAGCUGCAUGCAAAUUAGUUCUACGAAAAGUGAUGUUUAUGUAUCAGCCAGAAGUACACUGUAAUCAAUAUGUAUGAUUAUGAUGGAAUAAAUACCUUGUUCUACCUUCUGGACACGCAUCAGAUAAACAGAGAUAUCCUUCUGAUGUGUCCAGCACUGUAAUAAAGAAUGCCUGCUGUCUGAUACUCAAAAUUGUGUUAGAAAGUUUUGUUGUCUGAUUUCAGUAUUGGUCCAACAUUGCCUUGAACACUUCCAGGGUUGGGGCAUCCACAAUUCUCUGGGCAGCCUGCUCCAAUGUCUCACCAGCUCAAUU